rnacentral:rRNA from 1 species
CAGCAGCCACGGUAAUACGUAGGGGGCAAGCGUUAUCCGGAUUUACUGGGUGUAAAGGGAGCGUAGACGGAAUGGCAAGUCUGAAGUGAAAUGCCCGGGCUCAACCCGGGAACUGCUUUGGAAACUGUCGAUCUGGAGUGUUGGAGAGGUAAGUGGAAUUCCUGGUGUAGCGGUGAAAUGCGUAGAGAUCAGGAAGAACACCGGAGGCGAAGGCGGCUUACUGGACAAAGACUGACGUUGAGGCUCGAAAGCGCGGGAAGCAAACAGGAUUAGAUACCCCCGUAGUCCCUGUCUCUUAUAC